UACGUAGGUGGCAAGCGUUGUCCGGAUUUAUUGGGUUUAAAGGGUGCGUAGGCGGUUCUAUAAGUCAGUGGUGAAAUACGGCAGCUCAACUGUCGAGGUGCCAUUGAUACUGCAGAACUUGAGUACAGACGAGGUAGGCGGAAUUGACGGUGUAGCGGUGAAAUGCUUAGAUAUCGUCAAGAACACCGAUAGCGAAGGCAGCUUACUAGACUGUAACUGACGCUGAGGCACGAAAGUGUGGGGAUCAAACAGG
rnacentral:rRNA from 1 species